rnacentral:rRNA from 1 species
UGCAUAUCAAAAAGCGGAGGAAAAGAAACCAACAGGGAUUGCCUUAGUAGCGGCGAGUGAAGCGGCAAAAGCUCAAAUUUGAAAUCUGGCUCUUUCAGAGUCCGAGUUGUAAUUUGAAGAAGGUAUCUUUGGGUCUGGCUCUUGUCUAUGUUUCUUGGAACAGAACGUCACAGAGGGUGAGAAUCCCGUGCGAUGAGAUGAUCCAGGCCUAUGUAAAGUUCCUUCGAAGAGUCGAGUUGUUUGGGAAUGCAGCUCUAAGUGGGUGGUAAAUUCCAUCUAAAGCUAAAUAUUGGCGAGAGACCGAUAGCGAACAAGUACAGUGAUGGAAAGAUGAAAAGAACUUUGAAAAGAGAGUGAAAAAGUACGUGAAAUUGUUGAAAGGGAAGGGCUUGAGAUCAGACUUGGUAUUUUGUAUGUUACUUCUUCGGGGGUGGCCUCUACAGUUUAUCGGGCCAGCAUCAGUUUGGGCGGUAGGAGAAUUGCGUUGGAAUGUGGCACGGCUUCGGUUGUGUGUUAUAGCCUUCGUCGAUACUGCCAGCCUAGACUGAGGACUGCGGUUUAUACCUAGGAUGUUGGCAUAAUGAUCUUAAGUCGCCCGUCUUGAAACCACGGACCA